rnacentral:rRNA from 1 species
UUUGAUCUGGCUCAAGAUUGAACGCUGGCGGGGAUGCUUUACAUGCAAGUCGAACGCUGACGGCACGGACUUCGGUCUGGUGGCGAGUGGCGAACAGGUGAGUAAUGUAUCGGAACGUGCCUAGUAGCAGAGGAUAACUACGCAACGUAGCUAAUACCGCAUACGCCCUUCGGGGAAAGCGGGGACCUUCGGGCCUCGCACUAUUAGAGCAGCCGAUAUCGGAUUAGCUAGUUGGUGGGAGUAACGGCUCGCAAAAGGCGGCGAUCCGUAAAGCUGGUUUGAGAGGACGACCAGCCACAUCAGGACGAGACACGGCCCAGACUCCUGCGGGAGGCAGCAGUGGGGAAUUUUGGACAAUGGGGAAACCUGAUCCAACCAUCCGUGCGACGAAGGCCUUCGGGUUGUAAGCACUUUUGUAGCAGGAAAGAAACGGCACGGGAUAAUACCCGUGCAACUGACGGUACCUGCAGAAUAAGCACCGGUAACUACGUGCCAGCAGCCGCGGUAAUACGUAGGGUGCAAGCGUUAAUCGGAAUUACUGGGCGUAAAGCGUGCGCAGGCGGUUCCAGAAGAAAGAUGUGAAAUCCCAGGCUUAGCUUUGGAGCUGCAUUUAACUACCGAGCUAGAGUGUGUCAGAGAGGUGGAAUUCCGCGUGUAGCGGUGAAGUAGAUGAUGUGCGGAGGAACACCGAUGGCGAAGGCAGCCUCCUGAGAUAGCACUGACGCUCAUACUGAAAGCGUGAAACAAACAGGAUUAGAUACCUGGUGAUCACGCCCUAAACGAUGUCAACUAGCUGUUGAGGCCUUCGGGCCUUGGUAGCGCAAUAACGCGUGGAAGUUGACCGCCUGGGGGUACGGUCGCAAGAUUAAACUCAAAGGAAUUGACGAGGGACCACACAAGCGGUGGAUGAUGUGGAUUAAUUCGAUGCAACGCGAAAAACCUUACCUACCCUUGACAUGUCUGGAAUCCCGAAGAGAUUUGGGAGUGCUCGCAAGAGAACCGGAACACAGGUGCUGUAUGGCUGUCGUCAGCUCGUGUCGUGAGAUGUUGGGUUAAGAAUCCCUGGCAUGAAGCACAACCCUUGUCAUUAGUUACUACGAGGCACUCUAAUGAGACUGCCGGUGACAAACCGGAGGAGGUGGGGAUGACGUCAAGUCCUCAUGGCCGCUUAUGGGUAGGGCUUCACACGUCAUACAAUGGUCGGGACCAGGGUUGCCAGCGGGUAAUCAGGAAAACUGAUCGCCGUCGGAUCGCAGUCAGCGCUCGACUGAAGUAAGUCAGAAUCGCCAGUAAUCGCAGUCCAUGUAUCGCGGUGAAUACGUUCCCGGGUCUUGUACACACCGCCGUCACCACCAUGGGAGUGGGUUUUACCAAGUAAUUAGCCUAACCGUAAGGAGGGCGGGAAUUACCGCAGUAGGAUUCAUGACUGGGGUGAAGUCGUAACAAAAUCAACUCUGUUACUACCACAAAUUAUCCCA